rnacentral:rRNA from 1 species
CCUACGGGUGGCUGCAGUCGAGAAUCAUUCACAAUGGGGGAAACCCUGAUGGUGCGACGCCGCGUGGGGGAAUGAAGGUCUUCGGAUUGUAAACCCCUGUCAUGUGGGAGCAAAUUAAAAAGAUAGUACCACAAGAGGAAGAGACGGCUAACGCUGUGCCAGCAGCCGCGGUAAUACAGAGGUCUCAAGCGUUGUUCGGAAUCACUGGGCGUAAAGGGUGCGUAGGCUGUUUCGUAAGUCGUGUGUGAAAGGCGCGGGCUCAACCCGCGGACGGCACAUGAUACUGCGAGGCUAGAGUAAUGGAGGGGGAAGCGGAAUGCUCGGUGUAGCAGUGAAAUGCGUAGAUAUCGAGAGGAACACUCGUGGCGAAGGCGGGUUCCUGGACAGUAACUGACGCUGAGGCACGAAGGCCAGGGGAGCGAAAGGGAUUAGAUACCCCGGUAGUC